CGAAUGCUGAUUGGGCUUGCUGUCGUCGACAGCAGACCACCCCAGGGAACCUGAGUCUCAUGGUUCCGGCGCGCAAGCGUUGACUCACCCAAGGUCGCCAAGCACUCGGCAGCGCGACCGCAUCGCCUCAGGCGAUGGAGUGC
rfam:Pseudomonadales bacterium RIFCSPLOWO2_02_FTLL_63_210 rifcsplowo2_02_scaffold_265031, whole genome shotgun sequence.